rnacentral:rRNA from 1 species
GACGAACGCUGGCGGCGUGCUUAACACAUGCAAGUCGAACGGAAAGGCCCUGCUUUUGUGGGGUGCUCGAGUGGCGGACGGGUGAGUAACACGUGAGUAACCUGCCCUUGACUUUGGGAUAACUUCAGGAAACUGGGGCUAAUACCGGAUAGGAGCUCCUGCUGCAUGGUGGGGGUUGGAAAGUUUCGGCGGUUGGGGAUGGACUCGCGGCUUAUCAGCUUGUUGGUGGGGUAGUGGCUUACCAAGGCUUUGACGGGUAGCCGGCCUGAGAGGGUGACCGGCCACAUUGGGACUGAGAUACAGCCCAGACUCCUACGGGAGGCAGCAGUGGGGAAUAUUGAACAAUGGGAGGAAGCCUGAUGCAGCAACGCCGCGUGCGGGAUGAAGGCCUUCGGGUUGUAAACCGCUUUCGCCUGUGACGAAGCGUGAGUGACGGUAAUGGGUAAAGAAGCAACGGCUAACUACGUG